GAUCUGAUUAAUAGGAAAGGGCAGUUGGCGAAAAUCUGAUAGACUUGGAGAUCGACCUGCUAAAUCAUCGUCAGAGUGCUCUCUGGUUGAUUCCAGUACUC
rnacentral:lncRNA from 1 species